UACGGGGGGGGCAAGCGUUGUUCGGAAUUACUGGGCGUAAAGGGCUCGUAGGCGGCCAACUAAGUCCGACGUGAAAUCCCAAGGCUUAACCUUGGAACUGCGUCGGAUACUGGAUGGCUUGGAUUUGGGAGAGGGAUGCGGAAUUCCAGGUGUAGCGGUGAAAUGCGUAGAUAUCUGGAGGAACACCGGUGGCGAAGGCGGCAUCCUGGACCAAUAUUGACGCUGAGGAGCGAAAGCCAGGGGAGCAAACGGG
rnacentral:rRNA from 1 species